rfam:Buttiauxella agrestis ATCC 33320 GBAG.assembly.063, whole genome shotgun sequence.
CAGCACACGAGAUUAUCGGCUGCGCCAUUUGGAUAAAGACUUAUAACUCAACGGCGCAGCCUACUUUUUCCCUGGUGUUGGCGCAGAAUUCGCGCACCCCGGUUUAUCC